rnacentral:misc_RNA from 1 species
GCCUCAAGCACUAAGAAAAGAAUGGGCAGGGGAAGCCACUGGAUCAACAGAAACAGUGGCCAACGAGCCUUAGGAACUGACAAAAGAAUGACAGAAGAGUUUCUCUCUCUAUUUCUACAGAGAAGAUUUUGUUCUUGAGAAUUGUGUUAAAUACCUUGUUCAAUUAUGAUUUUCGAAAUAGUGAUUAAUUUUUAGAUGAAUUAUAAUUGUUUUUAAUUAAAACUAUUUUAUGUUGUAAAUAAAAAGAUCUGAUGUUG